GGACGAACGCUGGCGGCGUGCCUAACACAUGCAAGUCGAGCGGGGACAUGCGACGGAUAUGAAGUUUCGGAUGGAAUUGAAGGUGUAUGUUCUAGCGGCGGACGGGUGAGUAACGCGUGAACAAUCUGUCCUUCACAGGGGGAUAACACAGCGAAAGUUGUACUAAUACCGCAUGAGACCACGGUACUGCAUGGUACAGGGGUCAAAGGAGCAAUCCGGUGAAGGGUGAGUUCGCGUCCGAUUAGAUAGUUGGUGAGGUAACGGCCCACCAAGUCGACGAUCGGUAGCCGACCUGAGAGGGUGAUCGGCCACAUUGGGACUGAGACACGGCCCAAACUCCUACGGGAGGCAGCAGUGGGGAAUAUUGGGCAAUGGGGGGAAACCCUGACCCAGCAACGCCGCGUGAGGGAAGAAGGUUUUCGGAUCGUAAACCUCUGUCCUAGGUGAAGAGGAAGAGGCGGUAGCCUAGGAGGAAGCCCCGGCUAACUACGUGCCAGCCGCCGC
rnacentral:rRNA from 1 species